rnacentral:tmRNA from 1 species
ACUCUUUUCAUUGCCCCAUAAAACACCUAUAUCACCCGUGCCGGUGCUUGCAUCGGCUAUGGCAAUAAACUGUCGGUGUAAUAAACCUAUUGGACCCGGGGGCGGUACCCGGCGCCUCCACCAAAAACUGGCCCAUCUUGUGACCGGCUUUUGAUGGGGGCGAAACAGGAUCGACAAGGGCGUAAAGAUCGAACUUUUGCUCGGCAUGAUACCACCGUUAUCGGGUCAAAAGAGUAGUUGCAAAUGACAACAAUGCUCAGGGUUAUGCUGUAGCUGCCUAAUGGCGGUUCCAGAAACCCAAACUUAAGUCCAUACGGUUAGCCCCGUGCGGCGGGGUCCGAAGGCACCUGGCAACAGAAGCCUUCACC